rnacentral:rRNA from 1 species
GACGAACGCUGGCGGCGUGCUUAACACAUGCAAGUCGAACGGAAAGGCCCUGCUUUUGUGGGGUGCUCGAGUGGCGAACGGGUGAGUAACACGUGAGUAACCUGCCCUUGACUUUGGGAUAACUUCAGGAAACUGGGGCUAAUACCGGAUAGGAGCUCCUGCUGCAUGGUGGGGGUUGGAAAGUUUCGGCGGUUGGGGAUGGACUCGCGGCUUAUCAGCUUGUUGGUGGGGUAGUGGCUUACCAAGGCUUUGACGGGUAGCCGGCCUGAGAGGGUGACCGGCCACAUUGGGACUGAGAUACGGCCCAGACUCCUACGGGAGGCAGCAGUGGGGAAUAUUGCACAAUGGGCGGAAGCCUGAUGCAGCAACGCCGCGUGCGGGAUGACGGCCUUCGGGUUGUAACCCGCUUUCGCCUGUGACGAAGCGUGGGUGACGGUAAUGGGUAAAGAAGCACCGGCUAACUACGUG